rnacentral:rRNA from 1 species
ACGCUCGACACCUACUGGAGGCAGCAGUGGGGAAUAUUGCACAAUGGGGGAAACCCUGAUGCAGCGACGCCGCGUGAGCGAAGAAGUAUUUCGGUAUGUAAAGCUCUAUCAGCAGGGAAGAAAAUGACGGUACCUGACUAAGAAGCCCCGGCUAACUACGUGCCAGCAGCCGACGGUAAUCUGAGCGGGCUGGCAAGGC